GAUCAACGCUGGCGGCGCACAUAAGACAUGCAAGUUGAACGGACUUAAUCGAAAUAUUUAUAUUUUGAAGCGGUUAGUGGCGGACUGGUGAGUAACGCGUAAGGAACCUGCCUAUUAGAGGGGAAUAACAGUGAGAAAUCAUUGCUAAUACCGCAUAUGCCAUAGAUAUCACAUGAUACCAGUGGGAAAGGAGCAAUCCGCUAAUAGAUGGCCUUGCGUCUGAUUAGAUAGUUGGUGGGGUAACGGCCUACCAAGUCGACGAUCAGUAGCCGGACUGAGAGGUUGAACGGCCACAUUGGGACUGAGAUACGGCCCAGACUCCUACGGGAGGCAGCAGUCGGGAAUAUUGCGCAAUGGAGGAAACUCUGACGCAGUGACGCCGCGUAUAGGAAGAAGGUUUUCGGAUUGUAAACUAUUGUCGUUAGGGAAGAGAAAGGACAGUACCUAAGGAGGAAGCUCCGGCUAACUACGUG
rnacentral:rRNA from 1 species